GGUAUAGUUCUUCGGAAUUAGAGACCGGCGCACGGGUGCGUAACGCGUAUGCAAUCUACCUUUUACAGAGGGAUAGCCCAGAGAAAUUUGGAUUAAUACCUCAUAGUAUUAUGAAAUGGCAUCAUUUUAUAAUUAAAGUCACAACGGUAAAAGAUGAGCAUGCGUCCCAUUAGCUAGUUGGUAAGGUAACGGCUUACCAAGGCUACGAUGGGUAGGGGUCCUGAGAGGGAGAUCCCCCACACUGGUACUGAGACACGGACCAGACUCCUACGGGAGGCAGCAGUGAGGAAUAUUGGACAAUGGGCGCAAGCCUGAUCCAGCCAUGCCGCGUGCAGGAUGACGGUCCUAUGGAUUGUAAACUGCUUUUAUACAGGAAGAAACCCUGGUUCGUGAACCAGCUUGACGGUACUGUAAGAAUAAGGAUCGGCUAACUCCGUGCCAGCAGCCGCGGUAAUACGGAGGAUCCAAGCGUUAUCCGGAAUCAUUGGGUUUAAAGGGUCCGUAGGCGGUUUAGUAAGUCAGUGGUGAAAGCCCAUCGCUCAACGGUGGAACGGCCAUUGAUACUGCUAAACUUGAAUUUAUUAGGAAGUAACUAGAAUAUGUAGUGUAGCGGUGAAAUGCUUAGAGAUUACAUGGAAUACCAAUUGCGAAGGCAGGUUACUACUAAUUGAUUGACGCUGAUGGACGAAAGCGUGGGUAGCGAACAGGAUUAGAUACCCUGGUAGUCCACGCCGUAAACGAUGGAUACUAGCUGUUGGGGGCAACUUCAGUGGCUAAGCGAAAGUGAUAAGUAUCCCACCUGGGGAGUACGUUCGCAAGAAUGAAACUCAAAGGAAUUGACGGGGGCCCGCACAAGCGGUGGAGCAUGUGGUUUAAUUCGAUGAUACGCGAGGAACCUUACCAAGGCUUAAAUGUAGUUUGACCGAUUUGGAAACAGAUUUUUCGCAAGACAAAUUACAAGGUGCUGCAUGGUUGUCGUCAGCUCGUGCCGUGAGGUGUCAGGUUAAGUCCUAUAACGAGCGCAACCCCUGUUGUUAGUUGCCAGCGAGUCAUGUCGGGAACUCUAACAAGACUGCCAGUGCAAACUGUGAGGAAGGUGGGGAUGACGUCAAAUCAUCACGGCCCUUACGCCUUGGGC
rnacentral:rRNA from 1 species